CGGCGACGCCAGCGCGUUCAUCCCCUUCCCCCGAUGCCCGAUCACCACCAGCCUCUCCGCCGCUCCUGCUCCACAGACUGAAGGCCAGAUGCCAGCAAAGCCUUACUAGUGAUGUUUAGCUGUAUUAUGAAGAAUGAUUGUUGGGCUCUUUUUGAAUCCAUCAUGCAAGAGUUGAAUGAUCCACUGGAAGGGUUGGCAGCAGCCAACCUUUAAAGUUGCAGAUAGGAUGUGACCAUUUCAAAUAGUGUUGAGGUUGCAGAUUUAGAUGCAAAGCAAUGCCACAAGCUGAGAUCACAAUGCACUCAAGAGCAGUCCCUAAAAAGAGACCAGCUUUCCUUUACCAAAGCCAAACUUCUUGUGCCAUGAGAGGGGCCUCAGCAAGCCUAGCCAUUAAAUCAUUGCUUAAUGCCGUGACCGCAUGAUCAACUCAAUUUAUAAUCACUUCCAUCAGCAUGAAUCACCAGAUUAAAUAUCUGCACAAAAGAGAAGGUACAAUGAUUGCUGGAACAGAGCUCCCAUUAUUACGGUUGCUCACAUUUGUGGAUGCUUAUCAAAAGUGUUUGUGGUAUGGCAUCUUGGCUGGGUUCUGUUCAUGCAGAUGAUUGAGAAGAAGCUAUCCACAGCUGAGAGAGA